AACCAGCACCUCAAGUGGUCAGGAUGAUUAUUGGGCCUAAAGCAUCCGUAGCCUGUUUUGUAAGUCUUCGGUUAAAUCUACAUGCUCAACGUGUAGGCUGCCGGAGAUACUGCAGAACUAGGGAGUGGGAGAGGUAGACGGUACUUGGUAGGAAGGGGUAAAAUCCUUUGAUCUAUUGAUGACCACCUGUGGCGAAGGCGGUCUACCAGAACACGUUCGACGGUGAGGGAUGAAAGCUGGGGGAGCAAACCGG
rnacentral:rRNA from 1 species